rnacentral:rRNA from 1 species
GUGGGGAAUCUUCCGCAAUGGGCGCAAGCCUGACGGAGCAACGCCGCGUGAGUGAAGAAGGGUUUCGACUCGUAAAGCUCUGUUGUCGGGGACGAAUGUCAGGACUCAAAAUAUGGGUUCUGAAUGACGGUACCUGACGAGGAAGCCACGGCUAACUACGUGCCAGCAGCCGCGGUAAUACGUAGGUGGCGAGCGUUGUCCGGAAUUAUUGGGCGUAAAGGGAGCGCAGGCGGGAGAUCAAGUCUAUCUUAAAAGUGCGGGGCUCAACCCCGUGAGGGGAUGGAAACUGGUCUUCUUGAGUGCAGGAGAGGAAAGCGGAAUUCCUAGUGUAGCGGUGAAAUGCGUAGAUAUUAGGAGGAACACCAGUGGCGAAGGCGGCUUUCUGGACUGUAACUGACGCUGAGGCUCGAAAGCGUGGGGAGCGAACAGGA